GAGCAAUCACUCGGAUGAUCGAUUGAACACUCCUUCACCAAACAAGGCUGGAGGCCUGGGAUGGACACUGGUGGUUUGAGAUAUGCAGAAGAAAUGGGUCCUGCCCUCUGGAACACUCCAGAGAAUAUCAUGGCACUUUAUAACAUCAAUGUCAAUCAGCAUGGAUUGACAAGCCCCCUGGACUUUGGAUGACUUCUCUGAAGCCCCAGCUGUGCCUGGCUGGGCCAUCUCCCUUCUCCACUUGGCCGCAGCAUAAACUGCGGUCAAGCCACAAGAGUGACCUCAAGGCCUCAGGCCACUUUUCCAGCCUCAGCUUUUCUUAGGGGCCCAGCCCACUUACAACAGAAAUUUGCCAAAGAUUGGGUUGGUAAGUAAUGGAUAAGGUUUCAUAUUUACUAUUUUCAUUUCUGAAUCUCUCUUUACAUGCAUUUAAGCCAGGAAAUCCUGAAAGAACACUCUUCAGAAUGUUUUUAAGUAAAACAACAAGUUUUUGUUAAUUUAGGGCCAAUCCAUGAGUAAACAGAUAGAGCCUG
rnacentral:lncRNA from 1 species